CCGGAUAAGCCCUUACGGGGAAAGAUUUAUCGCCGAAAGAUCGGCCCGCGUCUGAUUAGCUAGUUGGUGAGGUAAUGGCUCACCAAGGCGACGAUCAGUAGCUGGUCUGAGAGGAUGAUCAGCCACAUUGGGACUGAGACACGGCCCAAACUCCUACGGGAGGCAGCAGUGGGGAAUAUUGGACAAUGGGCGCAAGCCUGAUCCAGCCAUGCCGCGUGAGUGAUGAAGGCCCUAGGGUUGUAAAGCUCUUUUGUGCGGGAAGAUAAUGACGGUACCGCAAGAAUAAGCCCCGGCUAACUUCGUGCCAGCAGCCGCGGUAAUACGAAGGGGGCUAGCGUUGCUCGGAAUCACUGGGCGUAAAGGGUGCGUAGGCGGGUCUUUAAGUCAGGGGUGAAAUCCUGGAGCUCAACUCCAGAACUGCCUUUGAUACUGAAGAUCUUGAGUUCGGGAGAGGUGAGUGGAACUGCGAGUGUAGAGGUGAAAUUCGUAGAUAUUCGCAAGAACACCAGUGGCGAAGGCGGCUCACUGGCCCGAUACUGACGCUGAGGCACGAAAGCGUGGGGAGCAAACAGGAU
rnacentral:rRNA from 1 species